GGGUGUGAGGGCGGUCCAGCUGCAACACCAGUCACCCCACUGCUCACCAGAGUGGACUCUGCUCAUCUGGCCGGCGAGGUCCCCUCCAGUCCUCACGGCUCCAUGGAGGUCCUUCCCCAGGCUGCUCCCCUGGCUGAAGAUGACCUUCCCCAAGUUCCAACACAGCAGGACCGUUCUUCAGUUACGCUUCCCUGCUAGAACCUCAAAUGAGCUCCCAAAUUGAGAGUAUCUGAGACAUGUUUGGAGCUGGGAAUGAAGAGAGGACAAUUUUGUUUCUUUUGGGGGCUGGGCCUGUUAGCAGUUUAUUAGG
ensembl:misc_RNA 7SK 7SK RNA